GUGGGGAAUCUUCCGCAAUGGACGAAAGUCUGACGGAGCAACGCCGCGUGAGUGAAGAAGGUUUUCGGAUCGUAAAGCUCUUUCGUUAGGGACGAACGUGCUCUUUGUGAAUAAUGAGGAGUAAUGACGGUACCUAAAUAAGAAGCCACGGCUAACUACGUGCCAGCAGCCGCGGUAAUACGUAGGUGGCAAGCGUUGUCCGGAAUUAUGGGGCGUAAAGCGCGCGCAGGCGGGAUAUCAAGUCUGUCUUAAAAGUGCGAGGCUCAACCUCGUGAGGGGACAGAAACUGGUAUUCUUGAGUGUCGGAGAGGAAAGUGGAAUUCCAAGUGUAGCGGUGAAAUGCGUAGAGAUUUGGAAGAACACCAGUGGCGAAGGCGACUUUCUGGACGAUGUCUGACGCUGAGGCGCGAAAGCUAGGGGAGCGAACGGGAUUAGAUACCCCAGUAGUCC
rnacentral:rRNA from 1 species